rnacentral:rRNA from 1 species
UACGUAGGGUGCAAGCGUUAAUCGGAAUUACUGGGCGUAAAGAGUGCGUAGGCGGUUUUCUAAGUUUGGUGUGAAAUCUCCCGCUUAACCGGGAGGGUGCGCCGAAGACUGGAAGGCUUGAGUAUGGGAGAGGUAAGCGGAAUUCCUGGUGUAGCGGUGAAAUGCGCAGAUAUCAGGAAGAACACCCGUGGCGAAGGCGGCUCUCUGGGACGGUACUGACGCUGAGACGCGAAAGCGUGGGGGAGCGAACAGG